GAAGAAAGAGCGGGAGCGGAGUUUGGCAGGUUUCCUUCUAAACUGGAGGCCAGGAGCUCACAGCAGUGGCUUGGCUAUGACAAGCAGGUUUUCUAGACUGAGUGAAGCACAGAUGUCCCUAGAUAUGCUCCUGACCUAGAGGAGAGACCUGAAGGAAACAUGAGCCUUCUCUCGACAGAGUCAAAAAGUUAAGGAGAGAGUGGUAACACGCAUUAUUUGCAGGAAGCCUGGAAGUUAACAGUAAUGCUGAUGCCUUUAGUAAAGAAUACAGCUUCCAUCUCUAGUACAUUUCUAGUUUUGAAACUCUGCUACAUUUCCAUUUCAUUCCCUCCUGUUGAGAAAACCUGAGCAAGAGAUUAUUUUUCCAUGAGAAAGUGGGCCUUUAAGAUUUUUUGGCCUUGUAUUUCCUAUAUCUCCACUCCUAAAAACAUUACCUUAAUAAAUAUCAAUAUCAUAGACUUAAAUAUUUAAAUUUGGAGUACUUAAAAUAUUAUAAAAGAGAUAACUUGUGAGUCAUCUUUGUGUUUAUAAUAGUGCUCCAAAUUUUUAAAAAUUAGCUACAAAAUACUAUUUUGAAAUAAUCGUUCAUGUCAGUUUUUGUUUUGUAAUGGAAAUUUCUCUUCCAAUGUAAAUAAAGCAUUUUGAUAUGAAAAUUACAACAUGCAAAGAGCUGCUGAGUACAUUUUAGGCAUCUCAAGUGGAUUUUAAUGUAACAUUUUAAUAGCUUUUACAUUUCUUUUUACAAAACACAGCUAUUUCAUUAGCUAUUCAGAUUUCCUUACCACUUCCAUUUGAACCCUAUGAAAAUAUAUGAAAAAAUAUAUCCCCCACCCCCAACCAGCAAUUUGUAUAAGAAUAGCAAUUAUUUUAAAAAGAACUUGCAUAGUAUUCUGAAUUUAUCAUGUUGUUAGAAAGGCUGCCUAUUGGAUUUUUUUGAGAUUUUCAGAAAAUGCUGCAAACUGGACACUCCAGUUCUUCCAGAUAUUGGUAGCCGCGGCGCAGAGGCAAUGCUGUGUGGUUAGGAGUGAUUACACCACCAGAGACUUCAGGACUAUGAAGAGGAAAAAGUAGUGUUUUUAAAAAAUAAGGAGAUCUUACUAAAAAGGAUCUGGGACAGAGGCAUGAAGGAAGUGAACAGGAUUCAACAGCUGAGAACCAUCAGCCAGAACAUAAAGGAUAGGGAAGAAAAUAGAUGAUAACAGGCUUAUGGCCAUGUGGAAGUGAACACACACUCACCAGUGUUAAUUUACAUCCAAGACUAACUGAAAUUAUGCUGAAAACAUUAUUCACUGGCUGGUGCAUAUCUGUGACAAAAUGACAGAACACUAAGAGUUCUUCCAGUUAAAUUUAUUCAUUUUUUAAAAAUUCUGAGCUAUGUUAUUGUUAACAGAUAAAAUACCACUUGUUUUAUAAAACUACACUGAUAGUCCUCAGUUCAGGUUUUCCUGGAAGCUGACCUUAUGAUGAUGAUGUGAGUACAAGUAGUUUAUCUGGGAGGCAAAGGGAACCCCAGUAAGAAAAUGUAGCCAAAAAAUUAAGGGUUACAAAGCCAGCUACCACUGUGACGGACAGAUGCUUGAUCUGGUGAAGAAGCUCUAGGCAAAGUGUAAGUAUACAUGUAAGAGUUGGCACACCCCAGGCAGGAGCGGGGACCAUAUUUACAGACUCUGUGUGUCACUGAUUGAAAGCUGCUUCCCAGGUCUUAACUUCCUGGCACUUCUGGCUGCCACAUACUGGGGCAGGGCUGGCUUUUGACAAGAGCCCUCAGAUAUGUCAAUGUGGGAUGUACAGUCUCGGGGAACAAGUUACCAAGAGUGGCCUUUUAUUUCCACUGUUCCUACCAUGGCAAAAUCAUGUCAGUCAUUGAUGUUGGGUUCCCACUUACUUUCCAACCCUCCCCAAACCCAAAAGCCUGGGACACUGAUACUCCACCAGCCAGAGGUCAUGUCAGUUGAUGACAUGAAUGACAGUAUAGGGCAGGUGCAGCUCAGAGUGAGACAAAUUCUUGCCAAUCAUUCUGACGGGGAAGGAUGACUCUGGAACUAGCAAGAGAAGCACUGAAGGAUGCCUUUCCUGACCCUCACAUCCAACAAGGGCCUCCAAAUCCUCGCCUUCCUGAUCCAUUUGUUGUUGUUGUUGUUGUUGAGAUAGAGCCUUGCUUGGUCACCCAGGCUGGAGUGCAGUGGUGCAAUCUCGGCUCACUGCAACCUCCACUUCUCAGGUUCAAACGAUUCUCCUGCCUAGGCCUCCCGAGUAGCUGGGAUUACAAAUGUUUGCCACCACACCUCGCUAAUUUUUGUAUUUUUAGUAGAGAUGCGGUUUCACCAUGUUGGUCAGGCUGGUCUGGAACUCCUGACCUUAAAGUGAUCCACCCGCCUUGGUCUCCUAGAGUGUUGGGAUUACGGGUGUGAGCCACCCUGCCUGACCCCAUCUCUUUUUUGAUAACACCUUCUGGUAAGGCGGCUCCACUUAUGGAGGAGAAGGAAUCAUUACACACAGCUGGAACGAGAUGUGCUUCACAGUCCUCUUGGAAACUGCUUUAGAAACUUCUCACUGCCCCAGCUUCCUGUAGCACCUCCUGGAGGCUGGCCAGUGUCAACUAACUUCUGGAAAAGCAGUUAACCAUCCCUAUAUUUGCAGCCAACAAGGUAACUCUAAUUGUGUCAAAGGAUGUCAAAAAAGCCUCCAAAUAUGUGAAAAUAAAAAUAAAAUUCUUUUUGGAAAGAAAACAUUUUGGGAGAGAUGGAAAGGGAAGUGAUUGUGAAAUGGUAAUAUGGUAGCAACUCAAUGAUUACAAAUUCUAAACUUGCAAUACUGCCCUGAAGAAAACAGUUCAUAUCCAUUUAGCUUGCUUGGUAUACUACUACCUAGAAUGGGCAUCUUAAAAAAAAAAAGAAAGACUAAUGACAUUUAAGGCCACUAUUAGAGUGAAGAUCCCACUUACAGGGGCAGAUACCUGCCACUCUUUGGACUUUCAGAGACCCUGUCUUCCACAAGUAUCUCAAACUAAACGCAAAAGUUUUUUUUUUUU
rnacentral:lncRNA from 1 species